AUUGAACGCUGGCGGCAUGCUUUACACAUGCAAGUCGAACGGUAACAGGCCGCAAGGUUCUGACGAGUGGCGAACGGGUGAGUAAUGCAUCGGAACGUGCCCAGUCGUGGGGGAUAACGCAGCGAAAGCUGUGCUAACACCGCAUACGAUCUAUGGAUUAAAGCGGGGGACCGUAAGGCCUCGCGCGAUUGGAGCGGUCGAUGUCAGAUUAGGUAGUUGGUGGGGUAAAGGGCCACCAAGCCAACGAUCUGUAGCUGGUCUGAGAGGACGACCAGCCACCCUGGGACUGAGACACGGCCCAGACUCCUACGGGAGGCAGCAGUGGGGAAUUUUGGACAAUGGGCGCAAGCCUGAUCCAGCAAUGCCGCGUGCAGGAAGAAGGCCUUCGGGUUGUAAACUGCUUUUGUACGGAACGAAACGGUCUGGGUUAAUACCUCGGGCUAAUGACGGUACCGUAAGAAUAAGCACCGGCUAACUACGUGCCAGCCGCCGCCGUAACAC
rnacentral:rRNA from 1 species